UACGUAGGGGGCAAGCGUUGUCCGGAAUCAUUGGGCGUAAAGCGCGUGUAGGCGGCUUGGUAAGUCCGUUCUGAAAGCCCGGGGCUCAACCCCGGGAGGCGGAUGGAUACUGUCAAGCUUGAGUCCGGAAGAGGCGAGUGGAAUUCCCGGUGUAGCGGUGAAAUGCGCAGAUAUCGGGAGGAACACCGGUGGCGAAGGCGGAUCUCUGGGCCGUAACUGACGCUGAGGAGCGAAAGCAUGGGGAGCGAACAGGA
rnacentral:rRNA from 1 species